AGUAUCUUUUUAAGGCAUCUUAUUAAGAUUAAAGGUUACGGUAUGAGAUGAGUAUGCGUUCUAUUAGCUAGUAGGUGUGUAACGGCACACCUAGGCUACGAUAGAUAGGGGCCCUGAGAGGGGGAUCCCCCACACUGGUACUGAGACACGGACCAGACUCCUACGGGAGGCAGCAGUUAGGAAUAUUGGACAAUGGGCGAAAGCCUGAUCCAGCCAUGCCGCGUGCAGGAUGACUGCCCUA
rnacentral:rRNA from 1 species